AUCGCUUCUCGGCCUUUUGGCUAAGAUCAAGUGUAGUAUCUGUUCUUAUCAGUUUAAUAUCUGAUACGUCCCCUAUCUGGGGACCAUAUAUUAAAUGGAUUCCCGGAACAGGGAGAUGGAAGAAGAGCUUGCUCUGUCCACUCCACGCAUCGACCUGGUAUUGCAGUACCUCCAGGACCGGUGCACCUCUC
rnacentral:snRNA from 1 species